rnacentral:rRNA from 1 species
AAUAAGAGGUUGCUAACUCUGUGCCAGCAGCAGCGGUAAUACAGAGACCUCGAGCGUUAUCCGGUUUUAUUGGGCGUAAAGCGUUCCGAAGGCGGUUAUUCAAGUCUAUGGUUACAAACCGGAGCUCAACUCCGUGUAUGCUAUGGAUACUGAAUAACUUGAAGGGCAAAGAGGUGGCUGGAACUCUGCAAGUAAGGGUGAAAUCCGUUGAUAUGCAGGGGAACACCAAAAGCGAAGGCAGGCCACUGGGUGCCUCUUGACGCUGCUAGGACGAAAGCGUGGGGAGAGAAUGGGAUUAGAUACCCCAGUAUUCCACGCCCUAAACGAUGAGUGCUUGCUAUUAGACAGCUCAACCCUGUUUAGUGGCGAAGCUAACGCAUUAAGCACUCCGCCUGUAUAGUACGAGCGCAAGCUUAAAACAUAAAGGAAUUGACGGGAACCCGCACAAGCAGUGGAUCAUGUGGCUUAAUUCGAUAGUGAGCGAGGAACCUCACCUAGGCUUGACAUGUAGAUGCAAAUCUUCUGAAAGGAAGACUCCUUCGAGGGUUCUACACAGGUGAUGCACGGUCGUCGUCAGCUCGUGUCGUGAGAUGUUCGGUUAAGUCCGGUAACGAGCGCAACCCCAAUCCUUAUUUAUUUAAUGUAUAAGGAGACAGCCUGAGUUUAAUCAGGAGGAAGGCUGGGAUGACGUCAGAUCUGCGUGUCCCUUAUGUCUAGGGCGGCACACAUGAUACAAUGGGUAGAGUACAACGGGACAGCGACAGAGUGAUCUUGAGCAAAUCCUAUCAAAACUCCCCUCAGUUCGGAUCGAAGUCUGCAACUCGACUUCGUGAAGCUGGAAUUG